rnacentral:rRNA from 1 species
UUGCAUCCUUCCGGGUACAUCUGCCGAAACCUUAGUGCAUUGAUUAGGCACUCUAAAGAAGUAUAAUCCUCGGGGUUGCCCCCGAGCACUAGCCAUCAGUUGCAGAUGGCGA